rnacentral:pre_miRNA from 1 species
GGGGGGUGGCCGGAUCCUGGGCUGUUUCCGGCACCCUGUGCUCCGGGUCUGCGCUGUUGGAUUCGUGCUCCCGGCCACACAGCCGCCU